rnacentral:lncRNA from 1 species
GUAGUAGAUAGUUCCAGUAUACUACUGUCUAUACUGAGGUAGUAGAUAGUACCAGUAUACUACUGUCUAAACUGAGGUAGUAGAUAGUUCCAGUAUACUACUGUCUAAACUGAGGUAGUAGAUAGUUCCAGUAUACUACUGUCUAAACUGAGGUAGUAGAUAGUUCCAGUAUACUACUGUCUAAACUGAGGUAGUAGAUAGUACCAGUAUACUACUGUCUAAACUGAGAUAGUUCCAGUAUACUACUGUCUAAACUGAGGGAGUAGAUAGAUACCAGUAUAAUACUGUCUAAACUGAGGGAGUAGAUAGAUACCAGUAUACUACUGUCUAAACUGAGGGAGUAGAUAGAUACCAGUAUACUACUGUCUAAACUGAGGGAGUAGAUAGUUCCAGUAUACUACUGUCUAAACUGAGGUAGUAGAUAGUACCAGUAUACUACUGUCUAAACUGAGGUAGUAGAUAGUACCAGUAUACUACUGUCUAAACUGAGGUAAUAGAUAGAUACCAGUAUACUACUGUCUAAACUGAGGUAAUAGAUAGAUACCAGUAUACUACUGUCUAAACUGAGGUAGUAGAUAGUUCCAGUAUACUACUGUCUAAACUGAGGUAGUAUGCAGCCAGUACAUCCGUUCAGCAAGGCCUUUCUCUCUGUUGUGAGAUGGUGAGAUGGUAUAAACCAUGUGAGAUGGUAUAAAUGGCAAGUAAUAGUCAUUUGGCAGAAUGUUUCGGUCCAUAAAAGUUCCCUGUAAUGUUUCCAGUGGAUAUUGAGCAGCUUGUGUUAAAGAGAAGGGCAGGGGGGGACGUGAGGGGAGGCUGGGUAACUGCACCGCCUGGGGCGAGGUGCUGCGCC